UUACGGUUAUAUCACCUUGAAAAACCGAUGUUCAUAUGAUCACUGAAGUUAAGCAACGUCGAUAGAGGUUAGUACCUUGAUGGGUGACUAAUUGGGAAUACCAGGUGCUGUA